rnacentral:rRNA from 1 species
AACGAACGCUGGCGGCGUGGAUAAGACAUGCAAGUCGAACGGGACAGACCGAGUAGCAAUAUUUGGAAUGUUCAGUGGCGAACGGGUGCGUAACACGUGGAUAACAUUCCGGAAAGCGGGGAAUAGCCCAGGGAAACUUGGAUUAAUACCGCAUGUGGCCGCAAGGCUAAAGACGGGGACCGCAAGGCCUGUCACUUUCCGAUUGGUCCGCGGCCUAUCCGCUAGUUGGCGGGGUAAUGGCCCACUAAGGCUACGACGGGUAGCUGGUCUUAGAGGACGACCAGCCACACUGGAACUGAGACACGGUCCAGACACCUACGGGUGGCAGCAGUCGAGAAUCUUUCACAAUGGGGGCAACCCUGAUGGAGCGACGCCGCGUGGAGGAUAAGGUCUUCGGAUUGUAAACCCCUGUCAUGCGAGAACAAGGUACUCAGGCUAAUAACCUGAUUGUUUGAUGGUACCGCAAGAGGAAGAGACGGCUAACUCUGUGCCAGCAGCCGCGGUAACAC